UUACUGUUAAUUUAAACACUUUCAAGCUACUAAAAAAUUGGAAAGGGUCAUAUGCUCUUUGGUAUACUUGCAUGGUCAGAAGAGUUUAUUUCAGUUACCCACAAUUGAGGAAGCAUAGACAAUACUACAAAGAUUUGGAGGAAUUUGACCCACAUUGUUAACAACCUUCACAACAAUAGUAAAUUGAUGUGAAUAUGUAUCAUCUUCAAUUAGUUGGCCUUUCCCAAUCUCAAUUCUUUCCCUUUCUUCCUCAACCUCUUCCAAAACUAGAGUUGUCAAAACGGGUAACCCAGGUCAACCCGGCCCGGCCCACCACGGGUUGGUCACUUAAUGAGCCAACCCAACUCGGCUCACUUAUUAGCAAGCUGAAAAAAUUCAAACCCGGCUCGAUCUACCACGGGUUGGUGGGUUAAACGGGUUGGCUCAUUGACUCACUUAAUUAUAAGUUUUCUUUAAAAUAAAAAAAAUUAUAAUUUUUUUUUAAUUCAAAUCUAAAUAAAUUUCACUCUAAAAUGAUGUUAAACUCCAACGACAAUUCAAAAUAAAAUAAAAAUAUCAUACAAUCCAAGCUUAAUCCAAAAACAAGCACAAAAGACGAACAAAUAAGGUUUUAAUAUUGAUAAUUUUUGUAUCACUUGUCCAUUUAUAAUAUUAGAGUCUUGAAGAGAUAAAUCUAUAAUAUUUUUCUCUCUUGAAUCAUCUUCUUUUUUAUCCCCAUCUACAAUAUAAUAAAAAAAAUGAUAACUAAUAAUAUUGAAACACAAAAUAAUAAAUAAUUAAAUCAAAUUAGGUGGGUUGGUGAGCCAACCCGGCACGGGUUCAAUCCGGAUGAGCCGAGUUCUAAGUGAGCCAGGUUGAAAACUAAUCCGCAUAAAAAAAUUACAUUUUUUUCAAACCCAACCCGGCUCAAACCCGUGAUGGACCGGGUUGGCUUGCCGGUUACAACUCAUUUUGACAGCACUAUCCAAAACCAUUACUUAGUAUUGUUUAUUCUUAUAAAUAUGACCUUGACCAUACUUUCCUUCACACUCUGCAUGUUAACUUUUCUUUAUAUAUAGCCCUAUCAUGUUGUUUUAUCCAUUUAGCUGACCUCAUGUUUGGUUAUCUUGUUGAAGUAUACAUUACAUCAAACAUAGGAUCUUGACUUGGCUAGAAUACAUGAUCAACUCCUAAAGCUUGAGCUUAGAGCCAAUUUGGCACAUGGUAGGAAUUACUCGCACAGGCAGUUGGAAGCAUUUGAUUUAUGCUUUGAUAGGUUCAGUGGAAAAGUCUAUACUAGGAAAAAUAGAGGCAGUUAUAACCUCUUAUUGUUGUAACCUUGUAAAACAAACUAUUAUAUAUAGUUUGUGUUUAGGCUGUUGUUUUUAGUUUGGCUUAAUAGCUUAUUUUGUCCCCAGUUUUGGUGAGUUGUGUCAAUUAGAUCCCUCCUUUUAAAAAAAUGUCAAUUGUAUCUCUACUUGGUAAAAUUUGCCUCAAUCAAGUCCCUUCCGUUAAAUACUCACAAACAGAGUUAACUUUUUAUUCUCUCUCAUCUAAUUCACUGUAACGCAGCAGGCCGUUCUGUCAGUGUUAUCUUUUCGUCCUUUUAUGCAGUUAUACUUCCAAUUUCAAUACAAAAAGUCAAACGCACAAUCUCCAUUUUUCCACCUCCAUUACUCUGAUUUAGAUAACUCAUUCGUUGAUUAUCCAACCCCAAACACUCUUAUAUUCUCUCCCACUCAUUCUCCACCUCCAUUGUCAGCAAUCAAUUCAUCCAUCAUAUCUUUUAUUCUCAACAUCGUUGCCAUCAAUUAACACAAUACACACAAAUCAGAGAGAGAAAAAAUGGGAAGAAGAAAUUGAUUGGGGUUACAAGGUCACUGUGCUCCACAAGCAUACACAUAUCUUUAUUUCUUUCCUAGAUGAUUAGGGUUUAUGCUGCACAAGUCCAUGCCUUUCCCAUGUUCAUUUAGGCCCAAUGUUGCAUCUAGUUCUCCAUAUAGACUUCCAUCCAACGUCCAACCCUGUUAAUUAAUCAAUGUUAUGUAAACCAUAAGUCACUCUUAUGCAUUAUGAUCUUUCCACAAUCUAAGGCUAAGAUAUCCAAAUAUCAAUUGGUAUCGGGCUCCAUCCUCACCCCAAGGUACCCUGCUCUCACCAAAUCUGGAAACAAUGUCACAAACUCCUUAUCCCUCACAACGAGGUGCGCAGCGAAUCAGACCCCCAACGAGUCACUGUACACGAACUUCCCCACCGUUUCCAGCAUAUUAGGGUCAAUCACAAUCGCCCCCUUCUGCGUCUCCAUCAGACACACCACCCUCCCGUCGCCAAGCUUAACCAUGUCGGUGUUCGCGUUGUCCGUCAGCGCCGGAGAGCAGGCUCGCCAACUCCUUCACAUAGACAGGAAAUUCGCCACCUUUGGCACUUCCGAAAACUCCCGAAAACAGUUCACCUCCUGUUCUGUUGUUUUCUCCUUCUUCACAACCGGCUUGACUUCUUCUACCUCCUCCUCCUCGCGGCGCUGCUUCUUUUCGCCUUCAGCGGCCUCCUCCACUGCGCCUGCUUCAAGCGGGAAGUUGAGGAUAGCCUUUGAGCCGCAAAGCCUAAAGGCAGCACACUCUCGACCCGCGCUCUCGACCCACGCUUGUUCGGGUCGCGAAUCUCGGCGGCGAACUUUCCCCAAGGCCGUUGGCGGACUCCUCUGUAGUGCUUCUUCUCCGACUGGUUCUCCGACAAUACCACAGGCGGGUUGGGAUCCUGUUUCCCAAAUUGGAUCCACUCGGUCUUCUUGGGAGAGAGAUUUGCAGAGAAGGUUUCCUAUUUAAUUGAGGUUUCUUGUGAAGCGAUGUGAGGGGUUUAGGGGUGUUGAGGUCGAUUAUUUGGGGUUUGGAGUCGAAUUCGAAAAGGGGUCAUUGAAUUUCAGGGUGGAGGAGCUUAGUGAGGUAGUGAUCGAAGGAGAGGCAAGAGUCAGAGGAAGAAGAUUGAGAAGGUUUCAUUUGGAUUCAUAAAAAGUUUACGUGUCAAGUGUGUCAGAAAGUUCUGCUGCGUUGCAGUGAAACAAUGGAGAGAGAAUAAAAAGUUAACGCCGUAUAUGAGUAUUUAACGGAAGGUGUCCUAUCAUGCUUCCAGUAAUAAAUUAUAUGACUUGACUUAAACAUCAUCAGCAAUUAAACCGUCACAAUCAAAGUGGAAUUUAUCUUACAAUUUUUUUUGAAAACCGAUUAGAAAUAAGACCAAUUUAAAGUAUAUAAGUAGGUGUAAAUUUCCUAAUUUUAUGAGGUUAAGUUAAGUCUAUUUCUUAAUAAUUUUCUUCAUAACCUACCUAACCAUAUGCUAUUCUUACAAACACAGCUCUCAGCACACAAAAGAUGACCAAUUGACACUUUCCAACAUAUUAUCUUGACUGCAAACCCCUUAAUAUAGCAGAUUUCUCCCCUGAAGUGCCCAAGAACCACUUUCAUGUCCUAAGUUUCUUAUUUGAAGAUAUAAGUUAUAAACCCACAUGCAUAAGCAUUUAGCUUUAAAUUUUUCUUCCCAUUAACUCACAUAGCAGUGUUGCCUGCUCUCUGGUGGAAUCUCUGAUGUCACUUUAAGCAUUGUGGGUGUUGGUUCCUUGAUCUCUGGGAAUGGAUUCCCUUCUCGUUGCAUUGCUCCUCACUAGAAAUGUGGUGAUUACUCUGCCCAAGUUAGUGGAGGAGUAGAGAGGAUGCCAAUGUGCUCGUCUCGUGUAUGAGUGUGCUGCUUAUGCUUACGAGUGUCAUUUCUCUGUACGGGUGCAUGGGUGAGAAGAACGCAUCCAUUUUCUUGAUGGAGGUGAGACUGAGUGAAGCACGUGAUAUCUUGCAUCAAGACAAGACACAAAUAUGCAAUGACUUGAAGCUAUUUUUUGAGCCUGUUCGGGAGAAGUUGCUUCAAUUUGAACAGGAACUCCGUGAUAUAUGAGGUA